rnacentral:rRNA from 1 species
UACGAAGGGGGCUAGCGUUGUUCGGAAUUACUGGGCGUAAAGCGCACGUAGGCGGAUCGAUCAGUCAGGGGUGAAAUCCCAGAGCUCAACUCUGGAACUGCCUUUGAUACUGUCGAUCUGGAGUAUGGAAGAGGUGAGUGGAAUUCCGAGUGUAGAGGUGAAAUUCGUAGAUAUUAGGAAGAACACCGGUGGCGAAGGCGGCCCACUGGUCCGGUACUGACGCUGAGGUGCGAAAGCGUGGGGAGCAAACAGG